rnacentral:piRNA from 1 species
UGUACUAUCGUUAUUCCCUCUGCUCUACAAG